rnacentral:tRNA from 1 species
GCCCCCGGACACCCUCAACACGCGGUCCCACGGCUUUCCUAAAGCCGAGGUCGGAGGUUGGAGUCCUCCCGGGGUCGCCA